UCAACUUGAGAGUUUGAUCCUGGCUCAGAACGAACGCUGGCGGCAGGCCUAACACAUGCAAGUCGAGCGAGACCUUCGGGUCUAGCGGCGGACGGGUUAGUAACGCGUGGGAACGUGCCCUUCUCUGCGGAAUAGCCACUGGAAACGGUGAGUAAUACCGCAUACGCCCUUUGGGGGAAAGAUUUAUCGGAGAAGGAUCGGCCCGCGUUAGAUUAGAUAGUUGGUGGGGUAAUGGCCUACCAAGUCUACGAUCUAUAGCUGGUUUUAGAGGAUGAUCAGCAACACUGGGACUGAGACACGGCCCAGACUCCUACGGGAGGCAGCAGUGGGGAAUCUUAGACAAUGGGCGCAAGCCUGAUCUAGCCAUGCCGCGUGUGUGAUGAAGGUCUUAGGAUCGUAAAGCACU
rnacentral:rRNA from 1 species